GACGAACGCUGGCGGCGUGCCUAAUACAUGCAAGUCGAGCGAGCUUGCCUAGAUGAAUUUGGUGCUUGCACCAAAUGAAACUAGAUACAAGCGAGCGGCGGACGGGUGAGUAACACGUGGGUAACCUGCCCAAGAGACUAGGAUAACACCUGGAAACAGAUGCUAAUACCGGAUAACAACACUAGACGCAUGUCUAGAGUUUAAAAGAUGGUUCUGCUAUCACUCUUGGAUGGACCUGCGGUGCAUUAGCUAGUUGGUAAGGUAACGGCUUACCAAGGCAAUGAUGCAUAGCCGAGUUGAGAGACUGAUCGGCCACAUUGGGACUGAGACACGGCCCAAACUCCUACGGGAGGCAGCAGUAGGGAAUCUUCCACAAUGGACGCAAGUCUGAUGGAGCAACGCCGCGUGAGUGAAGAAGGGUUUCGGCUCGUAAAGCUCUGUUGGUAGUGAAGAAAGAUAGAGGUAGUAACUGGCCUUUAUUUGACGGUAAUUACUUAGAAAGUCACGGCUAACUACGUGCCAGCAGCCGCGGUAAUACGUAGGUGGCAAGCGUUGUCCGGAUUUAUUGGGCGUAAAGCGAGUGCAGGCGGUUCAAUAAGUCUGAUGUGAAAGCCUUCGGCUCAACCGGAGAAUUGCAUCAGAAACUGUUGAACUUGAGUGCAGAAGAGGAGAGCGGAACUCCAUGUGUAGCGGUGGAAUGCGUAGAUAUAUGGAAGAACACCAGUGGCGAAGGCGGCUCUCUGGUCUGCAACUGACGCUGAGGCUCGAAAGCAUGGGUAGCGAACAGG
rnacentral:rRNA from 1 species